UCUAUAUGUUGGGUGUUUAAGAUAACUCCCAAUUUUUGCUUUGCUAUUUUCACUUCUAACAGUCAUUUUAUACGCAGCUAUUUUCUCUGCGACCUGCUUUUGAGCACCCCAAAAGCAUCUUGCUGACCCCUGCUGGGAACAGGUCACUGGGCUGGAUCCCACAGGGCUCAUCAUUUUACUGAGGCCAGUCUGGUUGUGAGUAGAUGAAGACCUAGCACAGAAUGCUGCGUUCCCCAUGCCUUCCCUGGAUUGACCUCCCCGUUACUCUUUCCAGGUGAUCUGGACCUUUGAUGAGGUGGUGGUGAACCCACCCAUGGCCCAGCAGGUGCCGUAUCCUGCCAUGACACAGCAGGUGCAUUACCCUUCCAUGGCCCUGCCUGUGCAGUAUCCGCCCAUGGCCUCACCUGCACAGUAUCCUGCCGUUGGACAGCAGGCCCCCAAUCCCAUCGCAUCAGUCAGAGCACCACUGGAUGCUGGAAGGACACUCCUUUGCCGGGAGCCUGUGCCAGAGAGUGGCCGGAGUCUCAGACCAUAUGGACCGAUCCAGGAGUUCCGGAGGCCCCUCACAAACGCAGAGCGGAUGCGGAACCGGAGGAUGCGGAACCGGAAGCAGCGCCUGGAGACCAGCAUGCAGCUGGUUGAGUCAGCAUCGCGGGCUCCCUCCAUGCUCUUGGACGCCAUGCGGGGGCUGCACCGGCAGGACCUGAAGGCCUUCGACCGGGCCCGGCAGGAGGAAAGGCAGCACCGGAAACAGGAGAGGCGCCAGGACCGGGCUUCAGCUCAGCUGAUGGUCAAUGCCAUUGAACGCUCCCACAGUGACCUGGGGGAGUUCCUGGGGAAGCAAACUGCCACCAUGGCAGCCAUCGCAGCAGUAUUCACCGGCCAGCGGUCCCCCCAGCAAGGUGCCUGCCCUGGCUACGGCUCUUACCAGGGGUACAGCAACCCGCCCUGGGGGCCCCCGGAGCCCGGAACGCCCCUGCCGCCCAGUCACGUGCCUGGAAUGCCCUCUGAGCCAAUGAGCAGUCCCGUCAUUCCAUGCCCGGUGCCUCCUUUGCCCCCCACCGGUGGCCUGUGUGAUCCCGUCCCUGAACCUACAGACGGACCAAGAGAAGACGCCGCUGCUGACGCCCCCA
rnacentral:lncRNA from 1 species